UGACAACCCCCCAUCCAGAGGAGAGUGAAAUUGCUCUCUACGAUUUGGACAGGUCAUGAAAAGCUAUCUCUAGAAAUUUUUGAAACCUUAUAUUUCAUUUCAAAAAUGAGUGCGAUUUUGCAUUUCUACCGCAAAAUAUAUCUCAGCCACAUACCGUUGGACCUAAUGUGACCAGCUGGCCCCAGGUGUGUCCAGACACACAACUUUGGACAUAUUAGGAGAAAUGAUCAGACUUCAGAAGGCCAAACCCAGCCCCUCCUGCUCUUGUGGCCGUGUCUCUUCCAGGUUUCUUGCCCUCUGUUUUUCUGGAACCCUGAGGGAUUUUACACAUGUUCCCUAAUGCUCCAUUCUCACAAGCCCGGGGUCCUCUCACCCCCUCUCACCCCUAAGUUUGUCCCUAAGUUCACUGAGUCAACAGCCUCGCAUGGGGGCAGGGUCCAGACAGCACCUCUUUCUCUUCCUGCAUUUCUUCAGGAGCCAGAAAGGGAUGGGGGUGUCUCUCCUAAAUUGUAUCAAUGUCUGGCAGCUCCGUAAGCCCUGUGUUCUGUCAUCUCAGGUCACUCUGCUGGCCUUGGGCCCCUCUCUGUCCUGCUGACCAUUCUGGUCUGGGCCCUGGGGAAAGGGCUUUCCUUUGUUGUGUCACAGAAGAGCUCCCAGCAGAGCGCAGCUUUCGCGUCUCUCCUGCAUAUCUCGGCCCUCUGCUUCCAGCAGGCAGGCUCUCCCGGACUCAGGGACUCCAUGGUCCUCCACAGCCUGGCUGUCGUCAGGGUCUCCGCUCUUUAGUCCCCCUCUGUGCCGUGUUGAUGGAGCUUGUGUCUCUCAUCUUUGUUUUUCAAAUACAAUGGCUACAGGAAGUGCUCAACAGAAUUUUUUUUUUACAUAAUUGAGUGGAUGGAUGGAGGCAUGAGCCUCUACAUGCAAAAACAGAUAAAUGGAUAAUAACAAAGAAUAAAUUUCACUUUUAAAUUGUUGUUAAGGGUCAUAUUUGAUGUCUCACAUGAACUUGUUUGGGGCUGAACUCCUAAUGAAGAUAGC
rnacentral:lncRNA from 1 species